GUUCAAAUGUGUAUGUGCUGUGGGAGGAUGCUAUUCUUCUGCCUAACACCACUGUGAAAGUCCAGUUCACCCAUUACUCAAGUUCCCUGUCUCGUUCUGGGCCUGCCUUGCUUCCUAGCUUUGGAAAUCACUAGUGAGCUUUCAGACUGUAAUAUCUCAAGGAAUGAAUCUGAAGUGUGACAGCAUUCACUCUUUGUGCCUUGCUAACUGUCAGGAUACACUAAUAUGCCCAAUACGCAGAACUUAAGUAAAAAUAAAGAAAACCCU